rnacentral:rRNA from 1 species
GAUCAGGCUCAGGAUGAACGCUAGCUACAGGCUUAACACAUGCAAGUCGAGGGGCAGCAUCAUCAAAGCUUGCUUUGAUGGAUGGCGACCGGCGCACGGGUGAGUAACACGUAUCCAACCUGCCGACAACACUGGGAUAGCCUUUCGAAAGAAAGAUUAAUACCGGAUGGCAUAAUUUUCCCGCAUGGGAUAAUUAUUAAAGAAUUUCGGUUGUCGAUGGGGAUGCGUUCCAUUAGG